GCGAAGGUGGCGGAAUUGGUAGACGCGCUAGCUUCAGGUGUUAGUGUUCUUACGGACGUGGGGGUUCAAGUCCCCCCCCUCKCACCA
rnacentral:tRNA from 1 species